UGGGUUUGUUUUGCUUUGGUUCUGUGUUC
rnacentral:piRNA from 1 species